GUGCGGUGCGUCUAGGGUUCCGGCAUUCCUUCCUCGGAAUGUGGCUGGUCCGAGAGACGCACUCCCUGUGAGUUGCAGGGAGACACGGCGGGCCAAAAUCCCGGGAGAA
rnacentral:sRNA from 2 species